UAGGGAAUCUUCCACAAUGGACGCAAGUCUGAUGGAGCAACGCCGCGUGAGUGAAGAAGGCUUUCGGGUCGUAAAACUCUGUUAUUGAAGAAGAACGUGUGUGACAGUAACUGGUCAUGCAGUGACGGUAUUCAAUCAGAAAGUCACGGCUAACUACGUGCCAGCAGCCGGCGGUAAUACGUAGGUGGCAAGCGUUGUCCGGAUUUAUUGGGCGUAAAGCGAGUGCAGGCGGUCUUUUAAGUCUGAUGUGAAAGCCUUCGGCUUAACCGAAGAAGGGCAUCGGAAACUGGGAGACUUGAGUGCAGAAGAGGAGAGUGGAACUCCAUGUGUAGCGGUGAAAUGCGUAGAUAUAUGGAAGAACACCAGUGGCGAAGGCGGCUCUCUGGUCUGUAACUGACGCUGAGGCUCGAAAGCGUGGGUA
rnacentral:rRNA from 1 species